UAAUGUGCCUUUUCCUCGCCUUGGGACGAGACUGAUUGACAGAGGAGUGCGCCCCCUUUUAAUGGGCUUUCCGGCACCCAUUCAACUUUGUGGAUAAGGGUGUCGCCCACCUCAGCCCCGUUAACAAACAAUAGGGGAUGUGACCGACGGUUUACAAGAUGCUGUGGUUUGGUGGUUGUGCCGAGCCGAAACAGGAAGUGGGAAAGGCCUUAACACAGGAACAAAGAGGCGUCAGCUUCACCAAAUAAGAAGAGUAAACGUCAGUGAGUCCGCUGGGAUCCCUGCUGCUGCUGCGUUCAAUGGGACCAUUGGACGUCCAGAGGGUGUCCAGAGAUGGGAUUUGAGAUGAAACAGAAAUCCUGCUGAGCUGAGAUCAGACGUCGGUUUGGGUAUGUUGUUAAAAUGGACCAGAGAGAUUGCACCUAAGAUGGACACCACAUGGAAAAUGCAAACAGGGUCAGCGCAAAACGACAAGGUGGCCAACUGUGAUGUCGAUACUUUAUGCACUUCAAGAAACAAAGAAGAUUAAGUAAGUAUGUAAGUAUAUUCUUCUGAAGGUGGCCAUUGAUCCCUGAAUCCCAUUUUCUUCAAUAAAA